AGCGACAAAACCUCUAAGGCUACUGACGCUACAUUAAAAUCAAGUGACAGAAAAACCUACAAAAACCUAAAGGUUACUAGUGGCUUUCCAACAACAAACGACAAAAACCGCUACGUCUAAUAAUAUCUAUUCAAAUCAAGCGGCAAAAAAGCCCUGCGGCUAUUAAUGCCCUUCUCAUAGCAAACGACAAAAAGCCCUAUGGCUAAUAACGACUUUCCAAAAUCAACUAACAAAAAUCCUACAAUUAUGAAUACUACUCCGACAACAAGCGACAAAAUCAGGUGCCUCUUCGAAAUCAAGCGAAAAAGAACCCUACGGCUACUAACUCUGACAACAAAUAUAAAAAUUCAACAUUCUGCUAAUGCCCACCAACAUCCCUAAGGUUACUAAUGCCUCUCCAACAACAGUCGACAAAACCCCUACGGCUACUAACUCUGACAACAAAUAUAAAAAUUUAACAUUCUGCUAAUACCCACCAACAUCCCUAAGGUUACUAAUGCCCCUCCAACAACAGACGACAAAACCCCUACAGUUACUAAUACCUCUUCAAAAUCAAGCGACAAUAAACCAUAAGGCUACUAGCGCUCUUCCGACAAAAAGCAACAAAAGAUUAAAAAAAAAGUUGACAUGCCGCUAAUGCCUACCACCACCACUAACAUUUCACUACUUGAAAACAGAUGAUAAAGGAAUGUGUGUCCUCACUCCAACAACAAGCAAAAAAACCUCUACAAACACUAAACCUACAAAUAUCGAGAGAGAGAGAGAGAGAGAAAGUUACUAAGACCAGCCCUCUAAUGCUCCCUCCAUCAACAAGUGAUGAAAACCAACCAUACCAUAAAUAAACGCCUGAUAGUUAAUGUCCGCUCUGACAGCAAACGACAAAAUACAUGUAUAGCCAAUCAGUGGCAAACGAUCAAAAGCCC
rnacentral:lncRNA from 1 species